CUACGGGAGGCAGCAGUCGAGAGGCUUCCACAAUGGGGGAAACCCUGAUGGAGCGACGCCGCGUGGGUGAUGAAGGUCUUCGGAUCGUAAAGCCCUUUCAGUAAGGAUGAAGUUAUUCUGUGCUAAUACUGCAGGAUAAAAGACGGUACUUACAGAAGAAGCUCCGGCUAACUCCGUGCCAGCAGCCGCGGUAAGACGGAGGGAGCAAGCGUUGUUCGGAUUUACUGGGCGUAAAGGGCGUCUAGGCUGAUUUGAAAGUCAGAUGUGAAACCCCCCGGCUCAACCGGGGACCUGCAUUUGACACUUCAAGUCUUGAGUACGGAAGAGGAGAGCGGAAUUCCUGGUGUAGCGGUGAAAUGCGUAGAUAUCAGGAAGAACACCGGUGGCGAAGGCGGCUCUCUGGUCCGAUACUGACGCUGAAGCGCGAAAGUGCGGGGAGCAAACAGGAUUAGAUACCCGGGUAGUCC
rnacentral:rRNA from 1 species